GAGUAGUGAAGGCCCAUGUAACUUAAACUGUAUGGCAUCAGGGCUGUUUCUUUAACCAAUAAGAUUUCAAUUUCACCUCACAGGACCAGCUAGCUGACCCCUACUGAUGGGAUAAUUACAUCAAAACUAUUA